UCCCAGUUCGGAUUNUAGUCUGCAACCCGACUACAUGAAGCUGGAAUCGCUAGUAAUCGCGGAUCAGAAUGCCGCGGUGAAUACGUUCCCGGGUCUUGUACACACCGCCCGUCACACCAUGGGAGUCGGAAAUGCCCGAAGUCGGUGACCGAACCGAAAGGAAGGAGCCGCCGAAGGCAGGUCUGGUGACUGGGGUGAAGUCGUAACAAGGUAUC
rnacentral:rRNA from 1 species